ensembl:lncRNA
AUGAACAGAGAACAUGGGAAAAACGUCAAUGAUAUCUGUGAAAAUGACUUUGUCACAAAAGGAACAUUUGCAAAAAGGACCACAGACAGUCACACAACGAGAAUCCAGUCAUCUGAACUCACAGGAAGUGAUGACGUGAUGAUCAGAAACUCCAGAGCAGCUGCAGUAGUGUUUGUGCUGCUGUGUGUUCUUCUGCUGACUGCACGCAUAAUACUGUGUGCCACCUUCGAUCAAGAGAGACAACAGCUACUAACUAAGAUCACCAACCUCACAGAAGAGAGAGAACAGCUACUAACUAAGAUCACCAACCUCACAGAAGAGAGAGACCAGUUCAAAUCAGAAAGCAAUGAACUUCAGAAGUGUUCUGCAGGUAAGUUUCAGCUUCAGUCUAACUGGUGACUUGCUCUACACUCAAAAAAAUAGCACAUUGGUUGAACAUGAUUUAAUCGUGGACAGUGGUUCCACGUGAUUACACCACAUUAUCUUAACAACAAUGGAUGAUGUUCAACCAGCUUGAAAUAUUUGUGUUCAUUUAACAUGAACAGAUGACAUUCACUAAACAUGAUUUAAAUACUUAUUUUUAACUUGAAUUAAUGUUUUUUAUUCAAUUAAUCAUGCUAUCUUAAA